GACGAACGCUGGCGGCGUGCUUAACACAUGCAAGUCGAACGGAAAGGCCUGCUUUCCCUUGUGGAUUGCGGGUACUCGAGUGGCGAACGGGUGAGUAACACGUGAGUGAUCUGCCCCCAACUUGGGUAUAAGCCUGGUAAACUGGGUCUAAUUCCCGAUAGGACUGCAGGGUGGUGCCUGUGGUGGAAAACGAUUUUCUAGUGGUUGGGGAUGAGCUCGCGGCCUAUCAGCUUGUUGGCGGGGUAAUGGCCUACCAAGGCGGCGACGGGUAGCCGGCCUGAGAGGGUGGACGGCUAUAUUAGGAUUGAGAUACGGGCCAGAAUCCUACGGGAGGCAGGAGUGGGGAAUAUUGCACAAUGGGCGGAAGCCUGAUGCAGCGACGACGCGUGGGGGAUGAAGGCCUUCGGGGUGUAAACUCCUUUCGACCGCGAGGAAGCCACCUGGUGGGAAGGGUGGGGACGGAAGUGGUAGAAGAAGCACCGGCAAACUACGG
rnacentral:rRNA from 1 species